UUGACCGCCUCAUCAAGAGCUAAAGGGAAAACAGAGCAAUGGCGACGGCGAAGGCGGGAGGCGGCGGCUACGAGUUUUUGUCAGAUCUAGUCGAUAGGAACCUUCCAUAUUCUCCCUUAUUGACGCCUGUUGUUGUCCGCUUUGAUUUUGACGGACAACUUACUGUUCUUGCCCGCUCCUUCUGAAAGUGUUGUGCUUGGAUGGCAAAUGAAUUGCUCUUACUUGCUGUGGAAUGUCUGUAUGCCAAUUAGUCAUAGUUAUGUAAAACAAUUGCGUGGUAAUGAUUCGUCUGUAUGCCAAUUAAUCACACAGGGUCCGUGUCAGGAAUGCACCCCUUGAGCCCCCCCCCCCCCCUACGUUGGGAGGAUAAGGGCACUGGAAAAAACACUCAGAUGCUAUGCAAAAAAGAAGUGUGACAAUGUCGUAAUUCCUGCCGUCGGAGACAACUUUGAUCCCCUUGGAGAGGCAUACGACUAUUACAAUCUGUAUCCCUGAGAAUUUGGGUUUGGGAUUAGAUAUAGAAAAAGCAGAUUGAACGUCGAGAGAACAAACUGUAUGAAGGAAAUAGUUUGCGGCUGCUCAAUUAGUAAUUCUUUUCGAUUUCAUCACUGUAUAUAUUGUACUAAUCUUUUUGUAGCCUCAAAAAUGAAAACGCACAUUGUUAUUUCCCACAAAAAGAAUUGCAGGGUGUCCCGAAAAGGAGCAACACACGGUCUUACCGAUGUACGAUAUGCCAUUCGGGCUGUUUGUCGGAGUCAACAACCACUUCCAAAGUGUCAUUUUCGGCGGAGUCCUGGUUAGGGAUGAGACAGCGGAAACAUUUACAUGGGUGUCCACUGAAUUUAUCCGCAUGAUGGGUGGCAAACAUCCACAAACCUUGCUAACAGAUCAAUGGAGCCCGUUCAAAAAAAAACAGAUCAAUGGAGGGCCAUGGAAGUAGCAAUAGAAUGUCUGGUGUAAGGGGCACAUCGUGAAGAAAGCAAAAGAAUCUCUUGGAGCACAUUACAGAAAGAGGAGCAAGUUCAGAAUCGAGUUCCACAAGAUAAUACGUCACAUGCUCACAGUCGAUGAGUUCGAGACAACAUGGGGACAUUUGACAGAACACACGGCUUGCAAAAACACCCUUACCUGACUCAGAUCUAUGAAACAAGGAUGAAAUGGGCGAAACCAUAUUUCAAUGGAAAAUUUUGUGCAAAAAUGACCAGUACACAGUGCAGUGAAAGUUCAAACCAUAUGCUUAAGAAUUAUGUUCCAGCAAGCUGCCCCAUGCAUCUAUUCGUUCGCCAGUAGAUGAGGCUUCUUUUCGACAGGGAAGCAGCUGAGAACUACGAGGAAAGACAUACUAAGAUAACUUCACCAGUUAUGAAAAUGCACACCACUAGAGAUGCACGCUAGCGAUGUAUACACUCGAGCUAUGUUUCAGAAAUUUGGCGAAGUCCUGUAUGAAGCAGGUCAGUACAAGACAGAGGAAGUCAUCAGAUGGAAUACGUAUUUGGCACGACGGUACCACCCAGAGAAGCAUGACAGUGGUACAGAGUUGUGUACCAAGUAGAAGUUGUCGACGAAGGCGCACAACUAGUAUGUGAGUGUGGUAAUUUUGAACACACAGGCUUGCUGUGCUGCCACACACUUAAGGUCCUUGAAGUCCUUGGAAUAGCUCAGAUACCAGCCAAGCACAUUCUCAAACGAUGGACAAAGGAUGCAAGAGAUGUGCUGCCAGAUCAUUUGGUGCAUCUUCAAAAGGAUAAGAUUAGUGUCAAUUCAAUAACAUUCAGACACUCCAACCUACACACUCACGCCCUUGAAGUUGUCAGUAUAGGAGACGCCAACACAGGUAUGUAUGAAUGUGCAAUGGAUAUACUGAAGAAAUCAAUGGAUACACUGACACCUAUGGCAAGCGUCCGUGAUGGAAUGGGACUUCAAGACAGAGUCCAGUCGGAGAAAGGAAAAGAAAAGGAACUGAUUGCAAUGCAUC